GCCGGGCUUGGUAGUGCACACCUGUAAUCCCAGCUACUCAGGAGGCUAAGGCAGGGGAAUCGCUUGAAUCCAGGAGGCCGAGGUUGCAGUGAGCCGAGAUUGCGCCACUGCACUCCAGCCUGGGUGACAGAGCGAGACUCUGUCUUAA
rnacentral:SRP_RNA from 1 species